GGUAGACGCUACGGACUAAAAUCCGUUGGCUUUUUAGACCGUGAGGGUUCAAGUCCCUCUACCCCCA
rnacentral:tRNA from 29 species